GGUAAAAUGGCUGAGUAAGCAUUAGACUGUAAAUCUAACCACAGGGAGUAAUCUCUUUUUACCA
rfam:Loxodonta africana unplaced genomic scaffold scaffold_24, whole genome shotgun sequence.